rnacentral:rRNA from 1 species
GAUGAACGCUGGCGGCGUGCUUAACACAUGCAAGUCGAACGGAAAGGCUCCUGCUUGCAGGGGUACUCGAGUGGCGAACGGGUGAGUAACACGUGGGUGAUCUGCCCUGCACUUCGGGAUAAGCCUGGGAAACUGGGUCUAAUACCGGAUAGGACGAUGGUUUGGAUGCCAUUGUGGAAAGCUUUUUCGGUGUGGGAUGAGCUCGCGGCCUAUCAGCUUGUUUGUGGGGUAAUGGCCUACCAAGGCGUCGACGGGUAGCCGGCCUGAGAGGGUGUACGGCCACAUUGGGACUGAGGUACGGCGCAGACUGCAACGGGGGGCAGAAGUGGAGAAUAUUGCACAAUGGGCGCGAGCCUGAUGCAGCGACGCCGCGUGGGGGAAGACGGCCUUCGGGUUGUAAACUCCUUUCGCUAGAGACGAAGCGCAAGUGACGGUACCUAGAGAAGAAGCACCGGCUAACUACGUG